UACGUGUGAUCUUGUCCGGGCGUACGUC
rnacentral:sRNA from 1 species